rnacentral:lncRNA from 1 species
AAGUUGCUUCCCUAGAGUAAAUGUAUGAAUAGGUAUUUUAAGGAAACGCGUUCUAAUCUUAGUGGUGCAUUAACCUUUAAAAAUUCUCAAAGCGCCAGUAGUAUAAGUGAGUAUAAGGGAGAUCAUAAAAAGCCAAAAAGCCAAAUAACUCCAAGAUCUCAUCACUGAAUCUAGAUUGGGGAAGGAGGUAGGCCCUCCGACUUCCUACGUGAAGGUGAUUGUUAUCUUGAGAAAAACUUUAAAAAGCAUUGUUGAAACUAGAUUGGGGAAGGAGGUAGGCCCUCCGACUUCCUACGUGAAGACGAUGUUUUAAGGAAUACCAUUGAAUCUAGAUUGGGGAAGGGGGUAGGCCCUCCGACCUCCUACGUGAAAAUGUUGUUCCUUAAAUAAAGAACUUAAAAUGUGCAUAUGGCAAAAGAACAAAGAUUCUCAAAAACUCCCAUCUCUCUUAUAUGAAUUGUAGAAGGAAUUUUUCUUGGUUAGUUUAGUGCUAGGAUUAGACCAUGUUUCCUCAUUAUACCUAUCUUAUACAGGAGCAAGAAAAGGGUUGGACUUCACACAUACACUCACUUGAAACUUGAUUGUUGGGUAGAAUAAAGAUUUCAAG